rnacentral:lncRNA from 1 species
AUGGAAGAGAAAGGGAGGUUUGGCGGGUUCAUGGUGACACUUCUGAAAUGGUAUCUGGAAAGUGCUAAAAAUGUGACGCCUCCAGGAAAUUGUUCUGAAACUGGAAACCAGCAGGAAAUUGACCUGAAUAGACCACAGGCAACAUUCAGAGCAUUGUUUAAAACAUAUUCCUUUAUAAGAGCCGUAACAUUUUUUUCAUAAGUGCAACAGCACUCAUAUUCAAAGUUCUGAACCCAGUACAUAUAAGUUGACCUGUAGUGCAAUAUCAUCAUAAGUUAUAGCACAGGGAGGCUUACAUUUUUUAUGGGAUUAGGAGUUUAUCUUCACAGCCUGUGUAGGAUCAUUGCUGCAUAUCACGACCACCAUUAAAAGCUUGCAAAGUUUCCGUGAGGACAAAUUUUUACUAUUAUGAAGUCACCUAAAGAUGUUUUGGAGGAAACUACUGUUUAGUUGAUUAUUUCAUAUUUUACUGAACUUUUUUCCAUUGAUUAUAAUUUUUUUUCAAACAGACGCCAUCAGCACUGCUCCUAAGUACGAUGGUCUCCUGUAGAGAUGCUCAAACUACUGUUUGGAGUUUGAAAUACUCUCACAUAAAUAAGUAAAAAAAAAUGAUAUUAAUCAAGCUCUGUAGAAAAUCUAACACAUGACCCUCAUUUUAUUUGAUUCUAAAGUGAAAUUCGUUCAGCUCUUUUGUAACCUUCCUUUUUGAAGCCUUAUGUUUUACAGUCAGUUGAACUCACAAGCUGAGCUUGCCCUUUCUGUAUCAUCUUCCGGUCGCCAUUCUCCAGAUGGAAUUUUCUCUUCCAUCUUUUACGCGGCACACCAUAAUCACAUGUUCUGCUCUUUUAUAUAGCUUUACUUUGCAACUGCAAUCUGGCGCCUGCUUUGCUUCUCUUUACAACACCUAAGGGUGCACAUGACUUUGAGAAAUAACUUCCAAUGAACUGCCAUCCUAAGAUACUACAUAAACGAAAGGAAAUACACAUGUAUCAAGGACAGGAAGGAAAUCAUAUAUCUACCUCAAGUUUAGGGAGAGGCAUGUUUUAUAUAACUUUUUCCACAUCCUUAUAAUUAUUUCUACAUUCUGGAAAUGUAUAUGCUCACUAUGUGCAAGACAUACACAGGACAUGAAAAUCAGAAACUUUCCUCUAGCUCUUUAUGCAUCUGGCUGAAAUAAUAAAUAAAAAAGUGACUUUAAAUAGCCUAUGUUUUUUGACUCUACCCAAGAUAUCAAUCAGGUUUAGUAGUACAUAUGACAGUAUUUUAAAAAUUAGUCUCUAAGUAAUUUCAGGGUUUUUAAACUUAAUAUCAUUUUUCAAAUUGCAUAUUGUAAAACUUACAAAGUAAAGUGUAGAGAAAAAAUAAAAAUCGUGUAAUCUCAAACCACUUUAACUGUUAUUUUUAUGUGUUACUGGAGGUAUGCAUACAUUUAAUAAAAUUGUGAAAGCAUUGUACGCAUGGUUUUGCUUUCCAUUACAGUGUGUCAUCAAUCAGUUCUUUCCUAUGUCAUAAAAUAGUCGUCCAUAAUUUUCAGGUUGUUUUCAAUUUUUCGCUACUAUUAGUAGUGUUGUGUUAAAUAUCCUGUGCUUAAAAAAAAUUCUCUGCUUAAAUAUCUCUUUAGAUCUGUUUCCUUAAGUCCGUUGACAAAAUAUAAAGUUAAAAAUAUCUUUGUUAUCAAAUCCAUCAAUUUUUCUAUUCUAAGUAUGCUUUUUUUUUUUUUACUGCAUUGUCAUAAAAAGUACAAUGACAUGGAGAAAGUACAAGAUGGUUGAUGUCUACCGAAAGCUCUUCUCUUGUGAGUAAUGUUAUGUCCAGUUCAACAACUUGUUAACUAAUUGAAACUAGAUGUACUGGGAAUUCGACAAAGUAUUCUGAAAUAGUAGCAGAUGGCCAUCAAAGUACCUUUUAAUAAAAGAGGGUUCUAUGGGUGACAGAAAUUUGAGGAUUUCUGAAUACCUGGGUAGGUAGGGACACUAACUCAGAAUACGGAGUAAUUAAUUGCUCUGCAGCAUAUAAGAGUCACUGAAUCGUGUGGUCCAAUGGAGAGGAAAAAUAAAAGAAGCUAAAGAUGCUACAAGGAAGAAGUAACUGCUAUAAGUAGUACCAUAGACAGGGUGGGUGCCGUUGUGAAGAUUAGGGGAGAGAGGUUAAGGAAAAAAUAAGAUGUGAAAAGUUGAUAUGUUCCCAAGAAAGAAACAGAAAUGCCCCUUUGAAACACAGUAGGCAUCUUGGGAAAUAGGAGACAAACGCUCUGAUGGGGGUGGUCAGUAGAAGAACUCUGGGCUAGUUUACUUCCUCUUAAGGUAGGUCUCCUUCUGAGAGGAGGAGUCCUAGCUACCCAGAAGAACCUUAUCUAAAUAAUUAAUUUGUAAUGAUAGGAUCUAAGGAGAAAUCCUGAGAAGAGAAAAAAAUAUGUGAAAUGAUACAACUCCCCAUACACAUAGAUAUAUAUUUUCCUUUGUUUAUAGAGUAGUCAUCAAAAAGUUGUUAUAAAGAAGAGAAAAUAUAAAUCAGAGUUAAUAAAUGCAAUUCAAUUGCAGCUGUAAAAGAAGAAUGCAAAAGUAAAUAUAAUAAUUUAAGUGAAGAGAUGGCCAGACAUCCUUGAUGUGAUGACUUGACUGUAAGACAAGGUAAAUCAGGAACAGAUAAGACAUAUAGAUCUAAAAGGAAAAAAAAUUCCUCUUAAAUAUAAAAAAAAAAACAAACGGAAUUCUUUUCUGGUUCAGCAGUUAAUGAACAUGAC